UGCUCGUAAGAGUCGUUUGCGCAAAAAGGCCUAUGUACAGCAACUAGAAUCAUGUCGUGUGAAGCUAAUGCAGUUAGAGCAAGAGGUUGAUCAUGCAAAACAACAGGGAUUACAUAUUGGUGGUACUGGAUUGGGUUCUAAUAGUUU